GGGGAUAAAUUAAUAUUUAGUAUAAAUAAUAAAAUAAAUUUUAAAUAAAAAAUAUUUUAUGGGGGUUUAAGUAUUUUUUAAGAAAAAAUUUAUUAAUUUAUAGUGAAUUAAGUAUUGUAAAAUAAAUUUGAAAUAAUUUGAAAAUAAAUUUAAUAAAAAGUAAUUUUAAUUUAGUGUAUCUUGUGUAUCAGAGUUUAUUAAUAAAAUUUUUUAGGGGGAAAAUUCUCGAAUUAAAAGGAGCUAAUUAAUUAAUAAAUUUAUUGUGUUAUAAAUAUUUUAAAUAAUUAAUUUGAAAUGAAAAGUUAUUCGUUUUUUAAGAUAUCUAGUUUUUUUAGAAAAAAAUUUAAUUUUAAAUUAAUUUAAUUAAAAAAUUAAUUAUUUAAUUUUUUAAAAUUUUAUUUUAAUAUUUUAGGGGAUAAGCUUUAAAUUAAAUUUUUAUAAUUAUUGAGAAAAAAAAAAUUAAAAUUUUUAUAAUUUAUAUUGUUAAUAAAUUUUAAUUUAUUAUAAAUAAUUUUAUUUUAAGAAAAAUUUAUAAAAAAUUUAAAUUUUUAUAAAAAAAUAUUAUAUAAUUAAAUAAUUUUAGGUAUAAUGAUAAAAUUAGUAUAUUUUAUGAAAUUAAUAAUUUUGGAAAAAUUAAAAUUGAUUAAAAGGAAUUCGGCAAAUAUAUAUAUUCACCUGUUUAUCAAAAACAUGUCUUUUUGUUAAUAAUUUAAAGUCUAAUCUGCCCACUGAUUUAUUAAAGGGCUGCAGUAUUUUGACUGUACAAAGGUAGCAUAAUCAAUAGUCUCUUAAUUGGUGACUUGUAUGAAUGAUUGGAUGAAAUAUAAACUGUCUCUUGAUUAUAAGUUGAAUUUAAUUUUUUAAUUAAAAAGUUAAAAUAAGUUUAAAAGACGAGAAGACCCUAUAGAGUUUUAUAUAAAUAUUAAUUUUAAUUAUUUAUAUAUUUAAGAUUAAAAUUAUUAUUUGUAUUUUAUUGGGGUGAUAGAAAAAUUUAAUAAACUUUUUUUUUUGUGGACCAUGAAUAAGUGAUUAUAUUGAUCCAGAAUUUUUGAUUAUAAGAAAAAAUUACCUUAGGGAUAACAGCGUAAUUUUUUCUUUUAGUUCAAAUAAGAGAAAAAGUUUGCGACCUCGAUGUUGGAUUAAGAUAAAAUUUAAAUGCAAAAGUUUAAAAUUUUGAUCUGUUCGAUCAUUAAAAUCUUACAUGAUCUGAGUUCAAACCGGUGUGAGCCAGGUUGGUUUCUAUCUUUAAAUAAAUAAAAUAUUUUAGUACGAAAGGAUUGAAUAUUUAAAAUAAUUUUAAUUAUUUGAAUUUUAAUAAAAAUUAUUUA
rnacentral:rRNA from 1 species